CAGACACCAAUUGGAAGUAUGAAUUAAUGGCUUUCAAACACUUGACACCACAGGGAAACAUUAAAAAAGCAGGGGAGAGAUGGAGGGAAUACAGAGAGGGAUCAGAGGGGACUCGGAGCCCAGUAGCACCACAGGGGACCGCUGCGAGGUCAUUCCAGCAUGGGGGGAACCAGGAUAUAGCAAACAGAGGGUCACCACCCCCGUAAGAAGUGGAAAGAGACGAUAG